rnacentral:rRNA from 1 species
GAUCCUGGCUCAGGAUGAACGCUGGCGGCGUGCUUAACACAUGCAAGUCGAACGAAGCAGCUUUCUGCUUGCAAGAAAGUUGACUUAGUGGCGGACGGGUGAGUAACGCGUGGGUAACCUGCCUCAUACAGGGGGAUAACAGUUGGAAACGACUGCUAAGACCGCAUAACCCGCUAGUGUCGCAUGACACGGACGGAAAAUAUUUAUAGGUAUGAGAUGGGCCCGCGUCUGAUUAGCUAGUUGGUAAGGUAACGGCUUACCAAGGCGACGAUCAGUAGCCGACUUGAGAGAGUGAUCGGCCACAUUGGGACUGAGACACGGCCCAAACUCCUACGGGAGGCAGCAGUGGGGAAUAUUGGACAAUGGGGGAAACCCUGAUCCAGCGAACCGCCGCGUGAGUGAAGAAGUAUUUCGGUAUGUAAAGCUCUAUCAGCAGGGAAGAUAAUGACAGUACCUGACUAAGAAGCCCCGGCUAACUACGUGCCAGCCGCUGC